GCAAAUGGGGAACCUUUGGCCUUCUAGGUGUAGAUGAAUGACAACUUACAUUAUCCCUGGCCAUCAGCCACACUUGCUAGGGCUCAUGGGAGUUGUACUUCAGCAACAUCCAGAGGGUCAAAGGUUCCCCAUGCC